UCCGCAUACUGAGCUCCGAGCACUGCAGGAUACGGCUGACUGCCUUUGGAGACCCGGCCUCGGAAGAACAUUAAGGUCAAUGAAGCCAUUAGAGUGGGUGGGUCCUAACCCCUGGUGUCUAGACACCUUCUAAGAAGAGAAGGUAGAGACACAGACACAGAACUCUACCAACCAAGGAGAGAGGACGGAAAAGAAACCCCUUACCCACACCCUCAAAGUAAGAGGAACUAUGAUGCGAUAGCACCCCGUGUAAGGACCCGGUGUAAGGUAGUUUCUCGUGGCAGCAUAAGCAGCCACUGUGUACCGCUUUCUUCAUUCGGCUACCUUACGUGAAUGCAAUGGCUGUCCAGGGAGAGAGGGGGAGACCAUGUCUGUCUGUACUGGGCUCAGCCACAUCUGCCGUGUUACAGGCCAAUGAAGCUUAUAGACCUACAGCCCACUGCAAACAAGAACCACGAGUCCCAAGUUGCAUAACCAGAAGGAAGUGAAUUCUGCCAAAAACUGAAAACCCUGGAGGAGCUCCAAGCUCCAUCUGAGAGCCAGCCUGGCUGAUGGCCAUGUUACAGCCUGUGGGACAGGUCCAGCGAAGCCAUGCCACAACGCCACAGCUGUGGAAACAGAAGAUAACGGAGGGGAGGUGUUUGAGACCACAAAGCGUGUGGUCACAGGCUACAUAGCAAGAGGGCGAAGGCAUACCUGCUGAUGGAUUUUCUAUAUCCUAGCACCGGAGAAGGAAGGGAGGCAGCUGACGUUCAUAUGACUCCAAGCCAGGAAUGCUCAUUGAAACCCAGCAGUCACACUGGACCAGAGAAAAGAGAGAGAAGUUAGAAUAUGUGGAACUCUCUGCCACCCUCCAACAAUUUUUCUCCCCAGGUUUGAUGAAGUGAAACCAUGGCAUAAUUUGAGAAACGCCAGCAAGCUGGCCAAAAAUUGGCUUCCCCCUCUGUCCUAGCUGUCAACGUGACACAAUCUACAGUCAACUGGGCAGGGGGACCUCAGGUGAGGAACUGUCCAAAUCAGAUCGGCCUGUGGCUAUGUCCAUGAAGUCUGGAUGGUUGACUGAAGCGAGAGGGCCCAGCCCUCUGUGGGUGGUACCUCCCUAGGCGGGUGAAUAAAGGAUGCUUUAGAAAAAUAGCUGAGCCUGAGCCCGAGACCGGGUUAGAGCAUGAGCUAGCAACCAAUAUUCCUCCGUAGUUUAUUUGAGCUCCUGCCUGGCUUCCCAGGCAGGACUUCACUUAUUGGCGGAUUGUGACCUGGAAGUAUAGGCCAAAUAGACCCUUUCCUUCCCAAGUUGCUUUUGGUCAGUGUUUUAUCACAGCAACAGAAAAGCAAGCCAGUACACCUUGCUCUCCUGAGAUCUCAGACAUCCAUGUGCAGGAGGCAUCUCUAUGCAAUAAGAAGUGUCUGGGCUCCUUCUUUUAAAACGCCUCUGUCUGAGCCCCACCCACGAGCCUGUGGUCAAGUCUGCAUUCUUAUCAAGGACCCGUGUAUCCAGGAAUGAGCCAUAGAAAAACAUCACCCCAAAUGCAUUCCAUGAAGUAAGACGUCAGACACCGAAAGACAAACACUGCCCGUUCUCACCCACGAGUGGCAGCUAAAACCUCCAACCCGCCAUUACAGAGAGAAGAAUGGUUCUAGUUCAUCACUGAGAAGUCAAAGCAGGAACUGAAGCAGAGAGUCUCAUCACUUCUACAGUCAAGAGCAGAAAGAAAGAAAUCCACGCAUGCCUGCUCCUGUUUCUGCCUGCAAGCAUCUGGCUUUCUCCUGUCCUGUAGAGUUCAGGACCCCCUGCCUAGAGCAUGGUGCUGCCCACAGUGGGCUGAGUCUUCCUGCAUCAAUUAACAAUCAAGACAAUCCCCCAAAGUCAGGCCUACAGACUAACCUGAUGUAGGCAUUCCUGCAAUUGGGACUCCCUUCUCAGGGGGUUCUACCUUGUGUCAAGUUGGAGGUUAAAACUAACCAACACAAUGCACUUACCAUGUUAAUGGUUACAUAGUGUUUCAUUACACAGACAUAAUAAUUUUUAUUGAUCUAUAUUCAUUGUGUAUAGUGAUAGACUUAAUGAACGUGUUUUCAUUCAAAUAUAUCAUGUUCCUUAAUAAAUAAAUACAUCAUGUUCCACCA